rnacentral:rRNA from 1 species
GACAGAUGGGAGCUUGCUCCUGAUGUUAGCGGCGGACGGGUGAGUAACACGUGGGUAACCUGCCUGUAAGACUGGGAUAACUCCGGGAAACCGGGGCUAAUACCGGAUGGUUGUUUGAACCGCAUGGUUCAAACAUAAAAGGUGGCUUCGGCUACCACUUACAGAUGGACCCGCGGCGCAUUAGCUAGUUGGUGAGGUAACGGCUCACCAAGGCAACGAUGCGUAGCCGACCUGAGAGGGUGAUCGGCCACACUGGGACUGAGACACGGCCCAG